ACGGCGUUUUCACGGGCGAUUGGAUCUGACCUCUCGUCCCCGGUUCCUCUGUGCUGCCGGCAUCAACACAUCGCACCACAGUUGAGUCAGGUUAUUCCUCCCGAUCUCCUCCCUUCCUGUAACCUCCAGUCCUCCUCGAUCUCGACCUCCUCGCUAUCCUCUGCGCCCGCCGACGUGGGCCGCGUCUCCGUAUCCUUGGCCAUGCCGGCGGCGGCAGCGAUGCGGUCUGGCGUCGGCGCCGACGGAGCCGACGGAGUUCUCCUUGCCCAUCAAUCUUGUGUCUGGACCAAGCACGACACCACCUCGGUGUUGAACGCCGUGAUAAUGCCCGCUCGGGCUCAAAUCCCCCUCCCCCACGAGCUCCCCCCUCGACGCGCCGCCACCCACGCUCAGACCUCGCCGCCGCCCAUGGCCUCCCCCGAAGAAAAGAGAAGAGAAGAGACGCAGGGAGAUCGAACCACCAGAUCGAGUGGCGGCCAGAUCCAUCUGCCACGGUCGCCCAGGGCUCGCGCGCCUCCGACGACGCGGCCGUGCCCGUGUGUCAAGGGCCUGGUCGGAGAUGCUUCUGCUCCGCCAUGGCCAUGGAGCUUCCUCCCAAUCCAAGGUCUUGGACUGGACGGGGACGGCUGCUCUUCCAAGGUCUCGUCUCUUCUCUUCCGAUCCAUCCAUCCCACACCCCAUUCUAUUUGCAUAUGUGUAGAUACAUAUUCAGAUCAAACUGAACCCCAAACCAUGGGCACUACUUCAAGAAAUAUAGUCCAGUAGGACCACGGAGGUGUGUCCCGGUAGAGUGAAAAAAAUAUCCUCUGCCUUAUGCCCUAUGUGUUAGUUAUUUACAUACGUACGAGGGAUCUCUGAUUCAUACCCUAGAUUGCAUAGAUGCUGUUAGUAUGAUUCAGUCUCCAGCUUUUUUAUGUCAACUAGGAACGUCUGCAGUCAUUUGAAAAGCUAAUCUUGAUAACCAUGUACUAUCUCAUCAUACUCUUCCUUCAAAGGGAUAAAUAGUGCUUUUCACAGUAUAUUCUCCUGGAUAGUUCUGUCCUAUUUCUAACAUUUGAAUAUGGUAGAUUGACCUCUGAAUCAAAUUAAGGUUUCUAGACCCUUUCGCAGAGUUACUCCAUCAUCCAUCUGAAUGUUUUUAUAUACGUUGCCAUGUUGCUACAAGUUAGUAAUUUAAUGAAAUCACCCCACUGUUCCAUUAGUUACUGCCUAAGAGAUUGUUGCUUUGUACCAUCUGAACCUGACUAGAAAUAGUUAUUUUCGAAGUUGGCCCUUUGCUGGAGUUUGAUAGCAUAUUACAUUAAGACAAUUUAUUUGACUCAUGGAGAGAAUAUGAUCCUGUUAUUCACCUGAAUGUCAUUCGUACCAGCUGAUUUUAGGACAAUGUAUUCAAUCAUCAUGGCUGGUUUCCUUUCCCCUUAGCAAUUGCUUAAACAGAACAACUGAACAAGACUGACUUUAUUUGAUGCAUUAUAUACAUAUAUACAUACUUCUAAAACCAAGCAUGUUGAGACUUUCUAAAUAUACACAAGAAAAUGCAUUGUGGGCAUUGCGGCGUCUAGCUUAGAAAGUGUCAUGGCGGCAACUUUUGCUGAACAUAAACCAACAAUUUAGUAGUCAAGGAACCAUCCUUUUUCCUUAUGCAUGGAAGAAAAAGAUCAUCUUUUGCUGUACUGCACUAUUUGGGUGCACACUCAGUACAAUAUCUUUAGCUUCUUCAAUAUGUUCAGGAAUUAAUCUUUCUCCAAUAUCUUCAGCUUCUCAAUUUUGUAGAAUUUUAACAAAAGAAUGCUUGGAUAAAUCUCUACCAUUAAGAGAAUAGUGACCUUGGAACAUAACUGGUUGUACCAAGAAAGUUUAAGAGGGAUAUGUAUGAUCAUUUCUAAUUAGCUCUACUUCAGAUUUUACUUUACCAUGGUCUGUAAGCAUAGGAGCCUGGCAGUUUUCAAACAGACAGAUAAAAGUUCAUACUUUUAAAUUUUUUUGUUAAACUGAUUUGAUUUUAUGCCUGCUUUACAUAUUGCGUUUCUUCUUAAAUUGACUCAAAAUUUUAUGUCUGCUUUACUUACACAAGGGCACAAUGAUGAAUUUUAAGGACGAUGCUCCUGGAAAGAAAGACUUUGUUCUCUUAACAAGGAUGAAGUAUAACCGCAUACAAAAACCAACGUGGACAACCCACAUCUGGUGCUCUACAGGUGUCUCCAAAGGUACAUGUUGGGUUGACGU